rnacentral:ncRNA from 1 species
AUGAAUCUUAAGGGAGAGAGCUAGUCAGUAUGACUAGACGCCGAAGGGGCAAGGAAGACAGAAUCUUCUUAAACUCUCAGGCACUAGGACCUUAAAGAGGAC